UGGGGAGCCGGCCGGGGUAGGGGAAUUUUUUUUAUUUUUUUUUUCAAUUCCCAUGGGAAUUGAAUUUUUAAUUAAAAAGGAGUCACUUGUAUAAUUAAUGAACAAUUUAUUGAAAAGAAUUGUAAUUACAAAUUGAAUACCAAUAAAAAGAGAACAACCACUGCAUACUUAUUUAAAUAAUAACAAUAGAAGAAAACAGAACAUGGCACAAAGAGAACAAUUAACAUUGUGUUUAACACAAGUGAAUAAGCACAAGUGAAAACACAACAUUAAUAACUUGUUUUCCCGCGAAUUAACAUUAAAAAGUUAAUUCUUGAGGAAAUAAGAGAACCUGGUCUUUUCAAGACAAAUGUUUAUACUUCAAAAUAAAUAUUGUAAAACAACUCUAACGUCGUACUCGGUAACGAUAAACUUUACACGAGUUUGACUGAGAAAUCAAAAGCGUAACACCAGGUUGUUUUACAAAGAAAAUAUAUGGCUCAAAGACAAAAGUAUAAAUCGAACAUGCUUUUACUUUUUUGAAUACGGACAAACUCUUUUUGGUGAAGUGACCAAAAUUUUCGCUUGAGUAUGGAAAAUAAUGAUUUUAUCGCAAUGUUUAGAUGCUAAGUGAGUCCAUUCGUUGUAAUGCGAGAUCAGUUGUCAAGACAUUGUCGUUGACAACAAAAUUCCACAUUGCUUGAAGCAAAUUAAAUUCCUCAAAGUGCCUUAACAUUUUGACAAUGCAUUGACAGCAUAUUUCAUUAAAUUCAGAAAUGAUAUUUUUAAACAUCGAAACAUUACGACUAGAUCAUUGGUUCCAUACUCAAUUGAACAUAUAUAAGAACAUUUCUUUCAAGUGCCAAAUCAAGAAAUAUUUAAAAAUUUGAAACUAUUCCGCUGUCUUUCGGAGCCAUAUACCUAGUUUUUAACCUGACAACUUUGAAUUGUUUGUAUAUAAUGUUAAUACUAAUUAAGUGAUGAAAAUGCAGUUCAACAAAUUAAAAGAAUGUUAUUUCUCCAAUUCUGAUUGAUUUUUCC